GGUGGUGGUGGUGGUGGCGGUGGUGGUGGUGGUGGCGGUGGUGGUGGCGGUGGUGGUGGCGGUGGUGGCACACCGUACGCACACGUCCUGCCGACCGUGCCCGGCAUGUAGUAUCCCAACGCGCAUGCAAUAAUAGUGUGCAAUUUUUGCAUAUAGUUUUAUGGCAUGACUCGUACCAUAUUUAUACUGUAUAUUCUGAAAAAUACGUACAGGGGCGUUCCGUGCCCCUCUAUUUCCUAAGAGUAUGUAGUAGGUAAAACAUGAGAGUGGGUAACUUUCAGGGUAAGUUAUAACUUGAGUUAAUAUUUUUUUUUUCUGAUGUGGAUUGUGAUGUUUUGUUCCGCAAAGUGGCUAUGGUGCAUGGUUUUUUUCCUUGAAAGAAGGUAUAUUAGUUACUUCUCACACCAAAUCUGCUAGCCUUAAAUUAACUGCUGGUUUCCAUUUUGCUUUAACAUUUUAUUGGGUUUCUUUUUUUCUGCCUAUCGGCUACUGGGAAAAAAAAAUGUAUUUCAUAAGGCACUAUUUAGAUAAGAAACUUGUAUUAACAAGGCUAGGCAAAACAGUAAAAGAAAAGGGUAAAAUUAACAUUUAGCUUUGAUUAGAAAAUAUUUUUUUUUCCAUAAUUUAUAACAGAUACGUAUGAAAACUGGAAAACCCUUUCAAAUAAACAGCAUGUGCUUGGUUUCUCACAUUGACAGGACAGCUCACUAUGGCAGUAGCGGAGAGUCCAUGAAGCCAAGCCGGCUUUUGUUCUGGAUGCUCUGCCCUCGAAGGCAGGGCCAAAACCCCCCCCAUGCUCCAGCAGCACCAGGGGUUCUCUGCGCUGCUGGGCAUUCCCUGCACUGCUUUCUCUGUGGUGAAAACAUGUUCAGAAACAUUAACCAAGGUUGACCCUGUGGGUUCUGAAAUGAGUAAUACUUUGUAUAAAUGUCUGCUUUGACAGCCUGCUGUGGCUGCGUUUGGUUUUUGGGUUUUUAUCCUGUUUUGCCCCAAAAUGCAGGGCCACGAGGCGGUGUGGCUGCUUCGGAGCUGGGUGGCGGAGGGGCUCCUAGUCCCACUGGGGCUGGCGGUGGCGGCAGGGAGCAAAGCCUCGAGGGCACUAUACCCCGAGGGACAAAACAGUUCAUUUUUGUUACAAAGGCUGGCCUGGAGCAAGAAGCGAGAGGCUGAACGUCGCUGGAAGGGUUGGCUCAAGCGCCGCGGUGGCUCGGUGUCCUGGAAGUUACCGUGGGGCGUCGGUCAGUUGUGCGCUCACGGACGUGGUACUAACUGAGCGUUUUUUUCACCGCUUAUAACAAUUUUUGAGUGGCACUGCAUGCUUUCUACACCCUUGGCUAUACUGAAAUUCUUUGCACGUUGUUGUUAAAGGGCACCGUGUGUGCAGCUCCCUGUGUGCCGAUCCCCAGCACGCCAUGAGCAGACCUCUAACGCUGCAAGGUAAAAUCUGAACAUCUUCCCCCGUUUGCUAACACUUGCUCAGGUUGUCCUGUAAAAUCUGUGUGCCAGGUGUAACUCUUCUGCUAGUCCUCGGCUGGGUGAAAACGGCCACGUGCUGGGGGCAGCUUCCUCAGCAUGUGACAGCCACGGGGGCUUGACCCUGCCCAGAUCCCCUGCCGCCACGGACAGCCCACUGCCCUGUUGGCUUUUCCUAAUGGAAAGUCACUGCAGAACCCCCCCGGACUAAAAGCAAUGGUGUUGCACCCAGCUGGAGCCUGAGGGGCGCGGGAGACUCAGUGACUGCAUACAAAUACCUGAGAGUAUGCGAAACAUUGGGAAAGAAUCCUCACUUUUGUUAAUUAAUGCCAGAUAAAAUACUACGUUACGAUUAAUUCAGAAGUUUGACUUUUUAAAACCAAAAUAAUCACUUGUCCUUGCUGGACCCAAGAUUUCUGAGGCUUGUGGCUUGUACUGCAAUGUAUUACGUACUUUAAGGGUAAAAUAUAUGUCUUUCGUUAACGAGAGUGAAAGUACAAACAUGGAUGAUAACUUUCUUUAGUUAUUCGGUUUUGGAAGGUAUUUCUGGUUAAUAUUUCAUUUUUAUUGGUGUGACCCCUUUUCUGUUUUUCCUAACCAUUGCUUGUGCUAAGAAGUAUAUCUGUUUGUUCGAUUGCACAGCCGGUCUGUGUUCCCUACUGCUGAAUUCAUGCUUGAAUUAUAUUGUAAAUUGUACAUAUUCAAAUUAGAAUAAUCUAAAUGCAUUUUCUGGCAUGCACUCUCUAACUGUAUAAAUGUACAAGUUUAUUUGAAUUAUACAAAACAACAGACUCUUGUAUUCAUUAAUACUGCAAGCUCAGUUUUAUCUACAGCUAUAUUAAACUUUCAGAAAUUGUUCGGUUUAAA